rnacentral:misc_RNA from 1 species
UUAUCUAUUUGUAUAGUUCUCAGACGACAUUAGAUUAAGAGUUUGGGUCCUCUGGCAGGCACUAGCCAGCCUAAGCCGGUAGACUAUUGUCAGGCCUGCCAAAGCAACAAAAGGAAAAUUAACAAAGGGUUGGGAGAUCUACCCCGAAGGGCAAGUUCUCUGUAAUGAUCCUUCCGCAGGUUCACCUACGGAACGCAAGAUCUACAGCUCUUUCAAGUGUAGGCCGGUCAUAUCUAAAUCUUAGGCAUCAGAAAUCCUAAAACCACCUUUGUUUGAUCUGUGAACUGCUGGAGCAGCUGCUUGUUAUCUAAAAGCAUAUCCAAGCACAGUAAAGGCGUUGCCUACACCAGUGUGGUAGACUUGGUAUCCAAGGCUUCAAUAUAGGUAAAA